GUCUACAACUAUACCACCCUGACUGUGCUUGACCUCAUCUGAUCUUAGAAGCUAAGCAGGGCUGGGCCUGGUUAGUACUUGGAUAGGAGAAAAUGUGAGCCUAUUAGAAAUAUUGAAGCUC
rnacentral:rRNA from 1 species